AUUGAACGCUGGCGGAAUGCUUUACACAUGCAAGUCGAACGGCAGCACGGACUUCGGUCUGGUGGCGAGUGGCGAACGGGUGAGUAAUGUAUCGGAACGUGCCCAGUCGUGGGGGAUAACGUAGUGAAAAUUACGCUAAUACCGCAUACGAUCUAUGGAUGAAAGCGGGGGAUCGCAAGACCUCGCGCGAUUGGAGCGGCCGAUAUCAGAUUAGGUAGUUGGUGGGGUAAAGGCGCACCAAGCCAACGAUCUGUAGCUGGUCUGAAAGGACGACCAGCCACACUGGAACUGAGACACGGUCCAGACUCCUACGGGAGGCAGCAGUGGGGGAUUUUGGACAAUGGGCGAAAGCCUGAUCCAGCCAUUCCGCGUGCAGGAUGAAGGCCCUCGGGUUGUAAACUGCUUUUGUACAGAACGAAAAGGUUUCUACUAAUACUAGGAGCUCAUGACGGUACUGUAAGAAUAAGCACCGGCUAACUACGUGCCAGCCGCCGCCGUAA
rnacentral:rRNA from 1 species